rnacentral:rRNA from 1 species
UACGUAGGUGGCAAGCGUUGUCCGGAUUUAUUGGGUUUAAAGGGUGCGCAGGCGGAAUGUCAAGUCAGCGGUAAAAUUUCGGGGCUCAACCCCGACAAGCCGUUGAAACUGGCUUGCUAGAGUGGGCGAGAAGUAUGCGGAAUGCGUGGUGUAGCGGUGAAAUGCAUAGAUAUCACGCAGAACUCCGAUUGCGAAGGCAGCAUACCGGCGCCCAACUGACGCUCAGGCACGAAAGCGUGGGUAUCGAACAGG